rnacentral:rRNA from 1 species
GCUGCCCCCUUUCUUCUUGCCUAAUACAUGCAAGUCGAGCGAACGGACGAGAAGCUUGCUUCUCUGAUGUUAGCGGCGGACGGGUGAGUAACACGUGGAUAACCUACCUAUAAGACUGGGAUAACUUCGGGAAACCGUAGCUAAUACCGGAUAAUAUUUUGAACCGCAUGGUUCAAAAGUGAAAGACGGUCUUGCUGUCACUUAUAGAUGGAUCCGCGCUGCAUUAGCUAGUUGGUAAGGUAACGGCUUACCAAGGCAACGAUGCAUAGCCGACCUGAGAGGGUGAUCGGCCACACUGGAACUGAGACACGGUCCAGACUCCUACGGGAGGCAGCAGUAGGGAAUCUUCCGCAAUGGGCGAAAGCCUGACGGAGCAACGCCGCGUGAGUGAUGAAGGUCUUCGGAUCGUAAAACUCUGUUAUUAGGGAAGAACAUAUGUGUAAGUAACUGUGCACAUCUUGACGGUACCUAAUCAGAAAGCCACGGCUAACUACGUG